UUCCUGGAAGUAGACGGCACGUUUUAAAUCUUAAUGCAGGCAUAUUUCGUUGAAUCAGUCUUUUUCGCCACAUCGCGUAUAAAGGGAAUCGAACCCAACUCUUCCACGAACCCCCCACGAAUGGUCCUCCCUUAACUCAAUGAACUUUGAGAAUUCCUUUGCCUAGUUUUUUUCUUUUCAGUUCUCAUAAGUCCUUGAUAUACUAGCCUCAAUACUUGACCGACUGCGUCACAGUGCUCAGGUAAAGUGGCAGUGGUUGAAAGCGAGCGGAAACGUCAGUGUUUUCUGUGCGUUACGAUAGUAGUGGUGAAAGAAAAUCCAAUUCAAAUAUCUCAACGUAAAAGGAAAAUCGUUUCACUUUGAUUUGAAAAGAAAGACUCCAGCUAGCUAUAUGAGAUCGAACUUCUUCCAUCACUCUAUCUACGAUAUUCAUUGCACCAUGAUUGAAGGCCUACGCAUCUUCUUUCGGGUAUUUCUUAUUGGUUGACAUAAAUUAUAGACACCGUGGGGACGUCAUCUAGACAAAAAGGGAAACGAUUUAUGAUAGAUUACCAUCAAUCCCAUCUUAUGGUGUUACACCCAUGGACUAAAGAUACUAGUCUUCCUACAUUGCAUCUAUUGGGUUGAGAGAGGAUCUCCUUUCUCCUAAAAAUCCUCCUUGUCCAUGAUACUUACUUGCAAUCAAUUCAUAGUCUUCCCAAGUAGCUUCUAGGUUGGACCAAUGAAUGAGCACUUGUGGUACCGCUGCAUUUCUGGAACGGCUACUGCCUACAUAACUUGUCUUCCUCUUUUCAAGGAAGUCAGUAUCAGACCAUAUGUAGUUCUCGUCUCGAGGGUCUUACUUCCUUUUUCCCGGACCAAAGAAAAGAGAUAAUUUAUUAGCCUUCUCACAUGGACAUAAAGACACGAGUUAAUCAUUCGCAUGCAGCCUCACAUAAACAACAAAUAACAAGCGCAUGCAGCCUCACAUAAACAACAAAUAACAACGCGCACAAGCUUAACACUCAUAUAUUUUUUUAGAUAAUAUGGACAUAAGAUUCCCCUCUUACCCCUAACUAACGAUUAUGCUGCUCUCGUCCUGUUUUUCCAUACUUCCCGCAGCGCAAGAAAAAGAAAAACUAGAAAUAGGAACAAACCGAGACCGAGAGCGAGAGCGAGAGGGUGAAUGCCAAAUUGAUCCAAAGGACUCUCCGCUAAAUGCAUCGCAGCGAAAUUUGCCGCUAAAUUCUCAUUCGCUAGCUCAGCUAUUCCGUACUUGAAGGCUUCACUUUCAGUGCCAUUUGCUACUAAAUCCCGGAGCUGUGAUCGAAGAAAUCCUAUAUUAGCACUCCCCCCAUGUAUUCGUUCGGCUGCAACUAGAAUCUCUUGGUGAUCCCUGCCGGGCAUUAAUUUGGCCAUUUCCUCGCGUAUAGCCCCUUGAUAUUCUACGACCCUUUCAUCGGUCGGGUUUGGGGAUGGCCGAUUUACGGACGAAGAGGAAGAGGGAGUACCACUGUCCGUUAAGAAUACUCCUUUCACGGAAGAAGGGGAUGGCUGGUUCACAGAAAAGGAUGCUAAUGGCGAGGGUUGAUUGACAGAGGAAGAGGAUGCUAAUGGCGAUGGUUGAUUGACAGAGGAAGAGGACGAGGGAGUCCCAAAAGAAAUGAAUCCUUCUGAAGAAGAAGGACUAUGAGAGUGUAGACUAGAAUUGCAAGACAAAAAAGACGAUGAACUGGUGCUACUGGCACUCCCUCCCGAAAGAUCACCCAUUUUAUUUCUGAUAUCCAACAUGAGAAGAUCUUCUGGUCUAGAAUUAGUCGUUUUUUGCAUUUCUUUAUUUGGUUGGGAAAGGAAAGAAGAGAUCGCGAACCGCGCCCACACAAUCUCUUACACAGCAACACUGCUUGUCAAGUUAAGUAGCGACCUGCAUACAGGGGACCCCCUCGUGCCCCACCCCAAGGGCUGACUCUUCUUUCAUUACAUACGAUUUUUGUUACUGAUCAAAUUUGAUUAAUGGAUGUCUCAGAAGACAGGCUUUCUCCGACAAGAAAGAUGAGAGGAACCGUGGAGUUGGACCAAUACGUUGGAAUAGAUAGCUCUGUUGCUUACUUUCAAGCUUUAGAUAGCUCUGUUUGUUACAAGCAAAGAAGAAAAGAUAUAGCUUUAGUUUUACACCAGCUACGCCCUUCCCCAUUGCAACGUUGUUGGUUUUCGUUUUAUUUUUGGAUCCAUGCAAGCCAUUUCCUGUUGAUAGGAAGGCAGAGUAACAAGUUGAUUUCGAGUACCAUACCUCCUUUCCGGUUCACAGACAGAUCGAGGGUCACACCUUACACUUGCGUCACCUGCCUGCCCUUCUCGGUUUAAUUGAAUAAGACCUAGGACCAAGGAUGCAUUUUUUGAAUGGAGUCUUCUCUCUAAAUAUUUCCGGGAAAUAUACCGGGUCAAACCUUCCGAGCUAACUGGACCCUACCCUUUUUCAGAGAAUCAUUCCUCCCCCACUCUCUGCCCUUCUAAAAAGAAAAUGCAUUCCUUCGCACUGUGCUUGACUUUCGCUCUUAUAGCACUCUUUUCCUUAAUGCCUGUUGGCUCUAGCACUGUGCUCUUUGCUUCUAGUCUCGCUAGCUAUGAAACUUCCACUGAAAAAGAAGAAUUUCCACGCCCACCAACUGCAGAAGCUCAAUCAAUGGCCACUACCGACAAGGGGACAAUAGAGCUGCAUUGAACACGCAUCCAGCACCUCGAGUCACUACCAACCAGAAAACGAGCGAUAUAGGAGGUAGACUGCCCGCUCCACAACGAGUGAAGAGUGCCGUAGAGCUGGAGACAUAUCCUUCCUGAAAGCCAAUCGAUCUGAUCUGUUGGAUAGUGCCUGAAAAGCUAUUCCUCGCUAGCGCUGUCUUGUCUGUUCCUGUUCUGGAUUGGGGCACGGGCUUUCUGUAGAUUGGGAAUUGCUGCUUCAACAAUAGGAGCACAGGGCUAACGCCUCUUUGUUUAGGUUUUAGAAAAGUAGAAAGGAGAAAAUUGGACUUUCAGAACUAAUAACUAUAUUCUUUGUCUGAUUUCUUUAAUUGUCCGAGUUCUCUCAUUAAUGAGUUGGCUCGGCCAUCAUCAAGUAGUGAAUCCCCUCUCGGGGAAGUCCCAUUUCUUUCUGAACGGGAGUCGGAGUUUCUACAAAUUGUAUUGGAAGUGGUAUUUGUAGAUUGUGUCAGUGUUUAGCCAAGAUGUCUCCCUUUGCGAAACGAAUCCAAGGGCGGAGUGUUAUCGCUUGCGUCGGUCCCACCCACCCUUGGGAGGGCCCGCCGGCCUUAUCCUUAUCCUUAUAGUGAUCUCGCUUUGAAAAGAGGACUUUCAUAACAAGUGGAGUCGUCUUGUGGGUAUCAACAAGAAAAACCCUUCUCACAUAAGAGCUCAAGAAUAGAUGCCUUGCCCCGAGAACAGGGAUUUGAACCAUUGGACUUUUCUAGCUGUCCUGCCACUGGGUUCCAAGUUCGUACGUAGUCUAGUCCAUUUCUAGGCAGGAAUUGCAUUUUAUGACAUUGGCCCGUUCCUCAAUACAAUAGUUCCGUAGUGCCAGGUGGGAAGCAUCCUUCUUUGAAUAUGAUGAUGGGCUCCCCGGUUUCAAAGAUAAUAAACCUAUAGUUAUAUUACUUGCGUGUUGGUAAGGCGGCUAAGGUUCUUACGUAUCAUAGUUUAGUUCCUUGUUUGUCUAAGAGGAGUUCAUAUAGCCAGUCCAGUAUGGAACCAGAUCCGGAUAUCCGUACUUUUGGUGGUGCGGUUCAGAGCAGAGGAGAGGUUCGGUAGGUUGACAAGAAAGUGCGCCGCUAGCUUUUGUGUGUUCACACAAGGUCAGAAGGAACCUCCGAGUGGAUCCAACAAAGAAUCGAUUCUAUGCCUUCUCUUUCAGUGUUCGUAGGGCUGGAAAUUAUACACGCUGGUAACUAGUAAGCUGGAAUAGUCAGGUUAGGAAUGGAAAAGAAGGAAGGAGGAAGCGAGUUCUCUACUCUAGUGAAGCUAGUGCUAGUUCUGUACUCUAGUUCAGUCCCCAAGGCGCGAGUGAAGCCCUUCUCCAUACCUUCGAUAAACUACUUGCCUCAUGGAAGUUCAAGUUCUCUUUCAUAGAAUGACUGGCUUUACAUAUCUCCUUAUUCGUAGGAAAUGAAUGGGCAGCAACUUAGAACCGAAACCGGAAGGCAAGAAACCGAGCUAUUCAAGAGAGAUCCGGCACAUCACAAGAUAACGAAACAACUUGGAAAGCUAGUUCGGAAAGUUCACCUAUGAAAGCCCUACUCAAUAUUGCCUCGGGCCAGGUCAAUAGAUGAACACAUAGAAGUGAGUAGAAAAAGCAAACUUUAGUGAAUGAAUGCGAUCUAGACCCUGCAACUAGACCGAGCAAGAGGAAAGGAAUGCGAUCCUCAAAUAAAAGAAUCUAUCUAGCACUAGCAGCAAGGAAUGAGAUAGAACCUCGAGCAAGAGAUAUGAGCGUUGAUCUGAUCUUAUGAGAAUACUGCGGCACUCUUUUGGUUCUUCUGAUUUCUAGUCUAGUUUCCUUUCCUUAAGGGACAGGGCGGCGUAGAGCUGAGGAGAGAGACAGAUGGAUGGCAGAUGUGAAUGAAUUGCAAUAUGCAUGCUGCCUGCCACCGAGGAGUAGUAGUAUUGAUGCCAGUGUGGAAGAGUUCGCUGGAUCAUUCUACCGGAGUCAAUCAGUUUGAUUCGUAACAAAUGAGAUUAGUUCACGUAUAACGAGCAUAAAGACGAAUCUAACCGCUAGUUACUCUACUCAUUGGCUCCAUCCCGUUUUUGAGGCCUUCUCUUUUUCGUGAUCUGGGCCAUAAAUCAAUGGUGCCGCAGUCUAUGAAGCAAGAAUGGCCAAUGACAUACGCUAUGGAAGCCGUAAACCUGGAUUGGAAAGCGGAGAUUCUUCUGAGAGAACUGGAACUCUGACCCAAGGCAAGACUUGACUUCUCUGAUCAUCCCUUCCCUGGCGCCUGAGCCCGGCAAUAACAAUAGCAGACAGGUCAGUUGUUCAAGUCCGUCUGGUUGAUAGGUCAGCUCAGUAUAGAAUCUUGUAUGGUAGUCCAGUAAUGACCAGGCAAGUGAACCGGCUUGAGAGACGUAAGAACCGGGAGAACACAGGACGCACGGAAAACUUUCCUGCUCGAGUAACAGAGUCUUGGCUGGCGGAGUUGGAGAAGGGGCACCGACCAGAAGCUAGACAGAAGAAUGACCUUAUUUUCCUUUACUCUCCAUUCCAUUUGUCCUUCAACCGGAUUAAUGGUCAACGACAUUUACAGCCUUUCCUUCACACAAGGUUUUUAAUCCAUCUCCCCUGCUUAGGACAGUAAGGGGAAGUAGCGAUAUUCCGAUUCCUUCGUGGGGAAUCAACGAAGGGUCCAGCUGCUUUAGUACUUAAGUUAACGCCCCAGCCCUUAUCCAGAAGGUAGAUGCGGUAAGCCAACUCCUAUCCUUCUUGCGGAAAGGGCAUUCAAUGCCAUCUGAAUUCCCUUCCUUGCUUCGAGGAGCAGGUCGAAUAGUCAAAGAAGGGGAUGGCUAAUUCCAGGAAUAGAGUAGCAUUCUCAGGCACUACCCUCAGUUGCAGCCUCAGUCCAUAUAAAACAGUCAAUCUACCAGCAGCAGAGGCUGCAGAUACAUGUCCACCACCUGUUUAUCUACUACCAUAAGCGGGAGCAGUUGCAGGUAAAGAGUGUUGUGAGGGCUUUCAUUUGCGCGUUAAGGGCAGUUUCUGUUAUAGCACUAGAAAUCAGUGCCGUUAGUCCCUUCUCGAACAGCAGUUUUAGCAAUUGAAUCAGCUGUUUCCUAAUAGACUAGGCUGUUAGCAGGAUUUGCAGGCGAGACAGAUGAGGAGGCAUAGAAGGAGCAAUUCCAUUAUGUGCUAAAGGCUGCGGAAUAAGAGCUCUUAGUCCUUUCGGCGUAGAGAACGAAUCCUCUGUUGCAAGAAGAAGGGCAAUGCCGAUUGUAAGGUUAAGUAUUACGUACGUCAAAACCAGUCAGUGACUCAUUUAAGUGUUGUGCGAAAAGGUAGCCUUUUGGCAACUGCAACCAUCCAUAGCGAGCGACGGAAGAUCAAUAGGCUGUUUUUUCAUAAGUUGAUAAAAGGAGAGAGCAGCUUAAUGAGAGAAGUAGCAGUGAGGGCGCUAAGCAGGUGUCAAGUUAAUUGGUCUGAGAGCCAAGCCAGCUUUCAAUUUCAAGUAGUAAAAAGCAGGCAUUAAAGUAGGUGAGUAAGUCAAGUUCUCUAUAUGCUUGAAGCUGAUACGCGCCUUUGUUGCCUUCUGUCUUCUUCCCUUUGGUAGUUCUGUUUCCAGCUGAGGAAUUGGAAUAAAUAAGUAAGGCUAACUAAAAGAGAGAAGAGGGUCUACAGUCAUUCUAUCUCAACACUGAAGAAUAGAUUUGCCACCUGGCUCGCUUCAAUGGAUGAGUCGGGCUAGGGUGAUGACUCGGGCUCGGGAGUUUCCAGUGAAGGAAAAGUCUCGUAUUUCUUGAUCUAGUUCCUACCAUUUCUGAUCCGGAUCUAGCUAGAUGAGUAGUUAGUUUGGGAAACAAGGGUGCCGAGCUGAUGUGUUAUCAUAUCAUAUUUGAAAGGAAGUCAGCUAUUGAAUCAGCAACUAGUCUGGUGUUGAUACGCCGCGAUGCCUUUGCUUCACAAAAGACACAGUGAAAGAAGCCCACAUGCCCACUCUUCUUUCCCCCCUCACCUCAACCGUAUAGUAGAUGGGUUUGGGGGCCUCGGUUUCCUAUGCCUACACCAGUGAAUUUCUUUACCUCUUCGUACGCCUCCAAUCGCAGAUUUGAAUAAUCAAGUCGGUAUGGGGCUGCUGCCUUUUGUUACUCCGGAAAUAUUGGCUUCGCCUGUACAGAUUUUCUAGGGCCUGGGCGAUUUUUACCCGCUUCUCGGCGCUCGCCGUUUCAAGGUGAAGAUCCUCGUAAGUAGACGUAAUGUGCUCUCCCUAGGGUUCCUAUCUCGACAGGACCUUAGAACUGUUUUAAUUCUUUUCUUUAAGAACGCAAUGGAUGGUACUUCAGGUUGCGCCCCAUUUAUGGGCGGCUCUGACUCUUUGCCAUUGCGUCUUGGCGGGACACUUUUUUCCGCUUAUCAUCAUCCUCAGAAUUAGGCGUAGCGGAAGCACUCGACGAGGCCUCUACGACAGCAUGGGCUCUUCCCCGUUUCUGGCCGGACGAUUCCAUAAAUACUUUGGUCAGAAGUAAGACCAAACCGAGAGUGAGUAGCAUAGACAUAGACAAGGAUAGAUUUGUGAAUGAGACAUAGUACUCACCAAUAUUCAGAUCCAGAAUUGGGUGAAUUCCAAAUUGAUAUUGAUCCAACGGGCUGUUGAGAUUAGGUAGGUUACCAAAAUACCCUCUGCCUUGUUGGGCAAUCAAGUAGUCCCAGUUGCCCUCGGCAGACAUUCGGGCGUGCAGAUCUUGUAUUCUCUGACCAAAACAACUACGUCCCUGAGGUGUGUGAAUCUCCUCGAGUAAGGACGCCAAAAAGCGUCGUAGUCCGCAAUCGCACUCUCACGCGCGAUACCAGAGAAUAGAUUCACACGGAAAGCGCUUAUUUCCUGUACUGACGGGAGAUUCAGGUUCCUCUCACGCAAGAUACCUUCCAUUUCUCUAAAUAAGGGGAGGGCUCGGAGUACCCUAUGCACAUCCUCCACCGAUUCCGAUUCUCGAUUUAGUGGGAUUCCAGGCAUCCCACGAGUUGCAAUCAUAAUGGGUUUACUACUUGAUAAUAGCAUUUUUCUAUCCGUUAAUAAAAAUAUCAUCGUACUUGACAAUUCCAUCUUUUUCAGCUCUGCUCCCCAAAGAGAAAGGAGACUAGACUGAUCCAUUCUUGACGUCGGCGUUGGUUUUCCAACGAAACGAAAAAAAGAACAUUCGAACAAAUAGACUUGAUUCCAUUACAAAACAAAAAUGCUAGUUCUAACGAACAGCGUUUGUCCCAUCGACUUUACUUUGGCCAAUGAUACUACUACUACUAUAUACUAUAUACUAUAUACUAUAUACUAUAUACUAUAUACUAUAUACUAUACGCGUUUUCUGAGGAGCAACAUGAGACUUGAUUUUCCUAUAGUCUGGCUACUAUACUAUACUAUAGAACCCUGGGCCAUGUUUCCCGAGAGAGACUGCCUUCUCUCAGGCCAGCAGUCUUAUACUUAUAGUCGACUGCUCUAUGACGAUCUGACCUCUUUCCUGGGCUCUGCUCGCUCGUCUACGCUCCGACCAAUUCAGUCAAAAUCGAAAAAACGAUGUUUCGUCUAAGAAUAAGAAAUAGUAGUAGUAGUAAAAAAGUGCACUUUUUCCAUAUAUUUCGAGGGAUCCCUAUCUUUAUCUCUAUCCACAGAGAUACCUAUCUAUUCUAUUCUAUAUAGAGAGAGAUUUUUCUAAAAAUUGAUCUAGACUAUCCUCUCCUCUAUCCGGAUAGAUAUGUCCCUAUGAGCGACUAGGCCGAUCUUUUUUUAUAUGUUUUGGCCACGUCCGUUUCCGCUCCGAAGAGAAGGUUUGGAUCUUUCAAUCUUAUGUCGUGAGGGAUGUGACCUAUGUUAGGUCCAUAAGAUACCACAGUCUUUAGUGUUCUAUGAUUCACCUCCGAAUAAUGAGUAGGUAGUUCGAUCCUUUUGAUUCUUAUCUUCCUAGUAAUAGUAAACGGGGAUCCGGAGCAAUAGGUCGAAUUUCUAUAUAAUUUGUUGUGUAAACAAAAGGGCUUAUUGCUCUUUUUCGGUUUUCGUUUUCCUCGAUAACUUUGAGAUCUCCUCUACCCCUUCCUCUUCCUCCUUCCUUCUUUUCCAUAAGAAGAAGUAUUUGAAAUGAAACAAAUUCCUCUUCAUUCUGUUGUGCUCAGCGAAGGAACUGCCUAAGCAUACUUUUGCGGAUCCAAACUUCUUUGUUCUUUCUAAGUCUUCUUCUUGCAUAUAAGAACGCAACUCUUGCAAAAACCCGGAUUUUAGUAGUAAGCGGCAUCCCCUCUGAGUUGUGAGUAAGCGAACCAUUCUGUUUUUGUUCUUCUCCAGAUUCUGACCGGUAGGAAUUUGCCUAUGAUUUUUCCAACUGAUAUGUCGAUAUAGAAAGAUCUCCUUAUUUCUUCACCGCGGGUUCUCGCGUCAUUUUCUUAAAAAAUAUUAGAUCACCAUGGGAAACUUUAAAAUGAGUAAUGGUUACCAGUCCAUUAUUCAAACAAACCCUUCGAUGACUUAUCGGCUGCCUUGCUUGAGGAAGAGUGUCACUAAAACGGAGACGAACCGGAAUCACGUCCGAUCUUGUUCUUUGAUUGAGUAAAAAAGGGAUAUAUGAAGUUCUUCUCUUCCUCUGUGCAUCUUCCUUAUGGGUAAAUCCCCAUAAUAAAGGACAACUUUCGUGUAGUUUGUGAUUUGAUGUUACUGUUUAGAUUUUCUCUCUGAGAAAGAUUUCUUUUAAUGGAUCUCCUCUUGUUCCUCAAUCUUCGGAGAAUGCGGCGUUGGAUUAGAGAAAGUUCUCUGUUUCCGAACAUUUCCUGGAAGUAGACGGCACGUUUUAAAUCUUAAUGCAGGCAUAUUUCGUUGAAUCAGUCUUUUUCGCCACAUCGCGUAUAAAGGGAAUCAACCCAACUCUUCCACGAACCCCCCACGAAUGGUCCUCCCUUAACUCAAUGAACUUUGAGAAUUCCUUUGCCUAGUUUUUUUCUUUUCAGUUCUCAUAAGUCCUUGAUAUACUAGCCUCAAUACUUGACCGACUGCGUCACAGUGCUCAGGUAAAGUGGCAGUGGUUGAAAGCGAGCGGAAACGUCAGUGUUUUCUGUGCGUUACGAUAGUAGUGGUGAAAGAAAAUCCAAUUCAAAUAUCUCAACGUAAAAGGAAAAUCGUUUCACUUUGAUUUGAAAAAAGACUCCAGCUAGCUAUAUGAGAUCGAACUUCUCAUCACUCUAUCUACGAUAUUCAUUGCACCAUGAUUGAAGGCCUACGCAUCUUCUUUCGGGUAUUUCUUAUUGGUUGACAUAAAUUAUAGACACCGUGGGGACGUCAUCUAGACAAAAAGGGAAACGAUUUAUGAUAGAUUACCAUCAAUCCCAUCUUAUGGUGUUACACCCAUGGACUAAAGAUACUAGUCUUCCUACAUUGCAUCUAUUGGGUUGAGAGAGGAUCUCCUUUCUCCUAAAAAUCCUCCUUGUCCAUGAUACUUACUUGCAAUCAAUUCAUAGUCUUCCCAAGUAGCUUCUAGGUUGACCAAUGAAUGAGCACUUGUGGUACCGCUGCAUUUCUGGAACGGCUACUGCCUACAUAACUUGUCUUCCUCUUUUCAAGGAAGUCAGUAUCAGACCAUAUGUAGUUCUCGUCUCGAGGGUCUUACUUCCUUUUUCCCGGACCAAAGAAAAGAGAUAAUUUAUUAGCCUUCUCACAUGGACAUAAAGACACGAGUUAAUCAUUCGCAUGCAGCCUCACAUAAACAACAAAUAACAAGCGCAUGCAGCCUCACAUAAACAACAAAUAACAACGCGCACAA
rnacentral:lncRNA from 1 species